GGUCGCGUCGGGUCACGUGGGCGCGCAGGCGCAGCGCGGUGCAGCCCGUUCGCUCACACAAAGCCCAGACGCGGAGAAAAUGGCGGCAGGGGUCGAAGCGGCGGCCGAGGUAGCGGCGACGGAGAUCAAAAUGGAGGAAGAGAGCGGCGCGCCCGGCGUGCCGACCGGCAACGGGGCUCCGGGCCCUAAGGGUGAAGGAGAACGACCUGCUCAGAAUGAGAAGAGGAAGGAGAAAAACAUAAAAAGAGGAGGCAAUCGCUUUGAGCCAUAUGCCAAUCCAACUAAAAGAUACAGAGCCUUCAUUACAAACAUACCUUUUGAUGUGAAAUGGCAGUCACUUAAAGACCUGGUUAAAGAAAAAGGGAUGUGCUGUUGUUGAAUUCAAGAUGGAAGAGAGCAUGAAAAAAGCUGCGGAAGUCCUAAACAAGCAUAGUCUGAGUGGAAGACCACUGAAAGUCAAAGAAGUAAGCUCUUGCUUAACACUGUGGAUACUGUGUGUAAUUGUUAAGUGAUCCCACUUUGGAAUUAGGGAAAGACGGUCAUGGUCCCAGACGGCAUUUUACAAAGCAAGUGCCAGCCUGUUGUUUCUAAUGAAGAGGGUCGGUCACAGCCUACAGCAGCCAUUCCCUGC
rnacentral:sRNA from 1 species